rnacentral:lncRNA from 1 species
UCAAAAUCUUCCCUUUCCUUUAAGGUCAGCUGAAGUCCCAGUUCUUUCAAAAAACCUUAAUAUUAUCUCUUCUGAUCUCCUAUAGCACCAUUGUCUUCGUGAUUCAUGUCAUUUACUAACUUUUAUCACUAGUUCUGUUUAAAUAUAUAUGACCAAUCACCCAGAACUGGCUUGAAUCCUGCUUGAGAGCAGGGACAAUAUCUUGUGCUUCUUUGUUCUGUUAUCUCUUCAGGUGCUAAUGUCCUAUCUUUCAACAUUCUUUUUUUUUUUUUUUUCUUUCUAAAAAUCCCUCCCCCACAUCUAGGUUCUAGGGUUCUUUCUAAUUCUAAUUCUCUGAGUUAUAAUAUUUCUAUUAUAAAGAACCUUCAAUGGCUAGCGUUCCAUGUGCUAACACUUUACUAUAUUUCUCUUCCAGGUUUCAUGGAAACAACCAAAAGUGAACAGUUUCUAGAACUACCCAAAACCUCACUUCAUGUUUCUGUACUAGCAGCCAUAGUUAAAUACUAGGAGUGAUAUGUUUUGCAAUUGACUUCAAUGAACCAUUGAGCUGCUAUUAAAAUGUCUGCCCAAUUUGUUUGGUACUGUGGGUGUGUUUAUAGGCAACACACCUGCUCUAUGGAAUCUUGCUUGACAAAUAUGGAAAUGUGUUUAGAAGAAUUGCACACAACCUAUAUCAGACUGCUUGCUGUCUUGAGGAGAAAAAUUUGGAACUUGUGUUUUGAGAAGAGGAAUGUUGAAAACUAUUUUUCCUCAGGUACCCCUUGAGGAGAUCCAGGAUUUGGUGACAUCGGGGCCUUUUGUUGAAUGAACUUGUGGCUGAAGCAUCAAUUUCACAGGAACCUGAAGCCAGAAUGAUGAAGACAGCCAGCCCACAGGUGUAUUUCCUUGAUAAUGCCAAGGGACUAGAAGCACUUCUUCCUAAAACAGAAGGACCAGAAGAAUCAUGUUGCAAAUCACACCAUCCCCAAUUCCCUUUAGUGUAUAAUUCAGAGUUUUAAAAUGCAAUAAUUGAAGUGUAAAUGGGACACUCAGUGUCUUAGAAUCCUAGGUAGGAUCAUUAAGUCCCAUAUAAUGUAUAUGAUAAUGAUAUAAUAAUAAUAGAUAGUAUAAUAAUUGUUGUUCAGUCAUUUCAGUUAUAUCCAAAUCUUUGUGACUCCAUUUGGGCAUUUCUUGGCAAAGUUACUGGAGUGGUUGGCCAUUUCCUUCUCCAGUUCAUUUUACAGAUGAACUGAGGCAAACAGGGUGAAGUGACUUGCCCCGGGUCACACAGG